rnacentral:misc_RNA from 1 species
ACGAACGCCCCCGACAAUAACUUUCAGUGGUUCCGGUGCCGCAUGGUCGGCGGGCGGACAAAUCACUGGGGCCGCAUCUCGCUGCGCUACGGCCCAGACGACUUCCAGAGGAAGACACUCGACGGCCUCGGUGACGACUGGCCGAUUAUCUACGAAGACAUCAAGCCCUAUUACGAUGCGAUCGAUCGGCAGAUCGGCAUCUUCGGCACGAACGAAGGCUUCCGGAACGAGCCCGACGGCAUCUUCCAGCCGCCGCCUGCGCCGCACUGCUACGAGCUGCUCAUCAAGCAGGCCGCCGACAAAGCUGAACAUUCCGUGCGUGCCGUCGCGCAUGUCGAUUCUCACGAAGCCCCUCGGCGAUCGCCCCGCGUGCCACUACUGCGGCGAGUGCGCGCGCGGAUGCGCCCUGCAUUCCAACUUUUCGUCGCCGUCUGUCCUGCUGCCGCCGGCGAUGAAGACCGGCCGUCUCGUGCUGCGCACGAAUGCCAUGGCGCGGGAGAUCACGGUUGAUGGCAAUGGGCUCGCGGACGGCGUGCUCUACAUCGAUCGCCGCACCGGCCAGGAGAACCACGUCCGGGCGCGCAUCGUCGUACUUGCGGCGAGCGCCUGUGAGAGCGCCCGCAUCCUGCUGAAUUCGAAGUCGU